rnacentral:rRNA from 1 species
GGACCCGCACAAGUAGUGGAGCAUGUGGUUUAAUUCGAAGAUACGCGCAGAACCUUACCAACACUUGACAUGUUCGUCGCGACUUUAAGAGAUUAAAGUUUUCGGUUCGGCCGGACGAAACACAGGUGCUGCAUGGCUGUCGUCAGCUCGUGUCGUGAGAUGUUGGGUUAAGUCCCGCAACGAGCGCAACCCUCACUUUUAGUUGCCACCAUUUAGUUGGGCACUUUAAAAGAACUGCCAGUGAUAAGCUGGAGGAAGGUGGGGAUGACGUCAAGUCCUCAUGGCCCUUAUGUGUUGGGCUACACACGUGCUACAAUGGUAUCUACAACAGGAAGCAAGACUGCGAAGUUAAGCAAAUCCUUAAAAGAUACCUCAGUUCGGAUUGCACUCUGCAACUCGAGUGCAUGAAGCUGGAAUUACUAGUAAUCG